AACGAACGCUGGCGGCAUGCCUAACACAUGCAGGUCGAACGAGACCUUCGGGUCUAGUGGCGCACGGGUGCGUAACGCGUGGGAACCUGCCCUUAUGUUCGGAAUAACUCCCCGAAAGGGGUGCUAAUACCGGAUAAUUUCUUCGGACCAAAGAUUUAUCGCCUUUGGAUGGGCCCGCGUUGGAUUAGCUAGUUGGUAGUGUAAGAGCCUACCAAGGCGACGAUCCAUAGCUGGGCUGAGAGGAUGAUCAGCCACACUGGGACUGAGACACGGCCCAGACUCCUGCGGGAGGCAGCAGUGGGGAAUAUUGGACAAUGGGCGAAAGCCUGAUCCAGCAAUGCCGCGUGAGUGAUGAAGGCCUUAGGGUUGUAAAGCUCUUUUACCCGGGAUGAUAAUGACGGUACCGGGAGAAUAAGCACCGGCUAACUCCGUG
rnacentral:rRNA from 1 species